rnacentral:tRNA from 1 species
GGGAAUGUGGCUCAGUGGUAGAGUGCUUGCCUAAUAUGCAUGAGGCCCUGGGUUCGAUCCCUGAGUACUA